AUUGAACGCUGGCGGCAGGCCUAACACAUGCAAGUCGAACGGAGUGGCGGACGGGUGAGUAACGCGUAGGUAACUGCCUCAUAGCGGGGGAUAACUAUUGGAAACGAUAGCUAAUACCGCAUCCUUUGAGAUGGACCUGCGUUGUAUUAGGUAGUUGGGGAGGUAAAGGCUCACCAAGGCGACGAUACAUAGCCGACCUGAGAGGGAGAUCGAGCACACCGGGAACGGAGCACGGCCCAGAAUCCUACGGGAGGCAAGAGGAGGGAAACAUCGGAAAAGGAGGGAAGGCUGACCGAGGAACGCCGCGGGGGAGGAGAAGGUUUUCGGGUCGUAAAGCUCUGUUGAGAGAGAAGCGUUAACUAACGAGAAAGGGACGGCUAACUACGUGCCAGCAGCCGCGGUAAUUC
rnacentral:rRNA from 1 species